rnacentral:rRNA from 1 species
CUCUAAAUGAGAAUUCCCAUUACGCAAGUAAGUAAGAUCCCUUGAAGAUGACGAGGUAGAUAGGUUCGGGGUGGAAGUGUGGCGACACAUUGAGCUGACGAAUACUAAUCGAUCGAGGACUUAACCAAU